rnacentral:lncRNA from 1 species
UCCACCACUCUCCAAUACCUUUUAGGCUAUAUUAAACAUAGUAGAUUUUGUUUACUAUAUCUCCUUCUCCAUGUUUCUUUGUGUAUAUAUGUGGUUAUGUAUGCAUGCGUGUGCUCUUUGUAUUUAGGAAGAGUUGUAUAGCUAGUGUUCUACAUCGCACUAAAAUUUUUUGAUGUCUUAGUCCCUUAUUAACUUGUCAAAUUUCUAAUAUUUGGUUUAUAAGUUUUAAAUGACAUCUUUUAACUGCAAAGUUUUACGACUAUGACAAUCAAAGGCAUUUAUUCUUUUUCUUUUUCUUCCUUAUGUAACUGCCAUUUCGCAUAGUAUUAUUUCAACCUGGUCAAACAUAUACCAUUUACAUACUAUUUUUUUCCAAUUUGUCUCUCCCCAGGUGUUUGUUUUAGAUCUACAAUUAUAUAUUCAAUGAUGACCAGCUGUUCAAAAGUCCAAAUUUCCUCAGUCCUCUCUCGUUGGGUGGAGUUCAUCCUUAAAAGACUCCUCAAGAUGGAAGCAGGACUCCUUGACACAGGGACAGCUUGGUGACUAUAAAGUACUUGCCCACAAUGACUUUUAUUGAGUUUUUAUAAAAUAUUGUCCUGCUUUAUAUGUUCUGUUGAGUUGUAGAAGGUAAAUUAAUUUUCUCCCCAUUGUAUGCAAAUAGGCUUCUUUGAGGCAAGAGGGAGGUCUGGAACUUCAGAGGAACCUUUUUUCUUUUUCUUUAAAAUCUAUCAGUUCUAAGAGGAUAGGCUUAGAGUUGACCAUUCCAGUUAUAUUUCUCCCCGGGAUCUAGACUUUCUCUCUGAUCCUUUCUCAGCAUCUUUUCUUCAUUUUUGUUCUUUUUGAUGCUUUCAUUUCUUUAUUCAAUAUCCCUUAUAGUAUUUUUAGACAAAUAUGUUGCCCUUAUGAACAUUGUCAUUUAGCCUCUUUUUCAGAGAGUUUUCUUUUUCUUCAAUUUUUUUCCUAAUUUCUGCCAAUUCUCUCACUUUCUGUUUCCUGUCCACUUCUCUUUUGAACUGUGUAUUUCUUACACUAAGUUUUGUUUUCGUCACAUCUACAAAUGCUUUGUUAAGAACAUUUACUUCAGAUAGGGAUGUCAUUUUACAGUUUUCCCAUGUUUUGUGAUUGAUUUUGAGGGGUGUCGUUUCAUGAGCUGAAAUCUUUGACUCUCUAUUUCUGUUGUUCUCUUUUGUCACCUUGGAAUACAUGUCUGCUAGGAGAUUUCAUGUCAGUAUGCCUAGGUUUACCUGAAUGAGAAAUAAAAGUUUUAUGUGGGAAUGGAUAAGUGCUUUGAGUAGCUUAGUGGAUUUCUAGGUCUGGAUCUCUCUCUUUGACGCAAUUACUAUAAUAGAUGUAAGGUUUGGGGGAUACGUGUGGUGUGUCUUCUGAUUCUGGGAUUCCAUUUUCUUUCAGCAGGACCUUUAAUUUCUAGCUGUUGCUUCAUUCUUGCUCUUCAAUAGUAGCCUUCAAAGGAAGCUACCUUCAUCAGGGUCUCCCCCUGGCCUGGCAGAUGUGCUUCCCCAAGAUUGUCACCUCUGGUCCUCUCACUGUCGAACCCCUUCCUUUCUGUUCCCAAGCAUCCAGAGCUGUAGUCACCCAGGUCUCUGGCCUGCUCUGAGUUCAUCACACUCUCUUUCUAUGGAGAAUUUAUCUCUGUUCCCUCCUGAGCAGACCCUCCCUGCUGUCAGCUCCUCUGUUUGCAUGGACUUUACUGAUCCAUCCACUGCUGGACAUAAGCUUUCAACUCUGGGGAAACCAAAGAGCAUGAGUGAUCCUUGGAUCCUAUAGUAAGAGUUUGCUUAGUUUUGUAAGAAACAAUCAAACUCCCAAAUCCCCAAAUCCCAAAUAACUGUCUCGUUUUGCAUUCUCACCAGCACAGACUGAGAGUUCUUAUUGCUCCAUAUCUUUAUCAAUUUUUGGUGUUUAUUAUCAGUUUUUGGAUUUUAGCCAUUCUUAUAGAUGUGUAGUGAUAUCUUCUUUAGUUUGCUAUUCCAUCAUAAUGGCAUAUGAUGUUGAGUAUCCUUUUGCAUGUUUUACAUCUGUCUAUCUUCCUUGGUAAGGUGUCUAUUCAGAUCUUUUGACCAUUUUCAAAUUGGAUUGUCUGUUUUCUUGUUGAGUUUUAAGAGUUUUUAUCUUCGGGUAACAGUCCUUUAUCAGAAACAUCUUUUGCAACUAUUUUCUCUCAGCCUGUGUGUUAUUAUUUCAUUCUCUGAAAAAUAUUUUUCUCAGAAGUUUUUAAUUUUAAUGAGUCCUGCUUAUCAAAGUUUUCUGUUAUGGAUUAUAUUUUGCAUGUUAUAUCAAAAAAAUCGUCACCAUACCCAAGAUCAUCUAGAUUUUCUCCUGUGUUAUGUUCUAGAAGCUUUUAUACUUUUGUAUUUUACAUUUGAGUCUAUGAUGCAUUUUGAGUUAAUUUUGUGAAAGGUUUAAGAUCUACUUUCUAAAUUUAUUCCUUUGCAUGCGGAUGUCUAGUUGUUUCCAGCCCCAUUUGUUGAAAGGAAGGUCCUUUCACCAUUAAAUUGCCUUUGUUCUUUUGUCAAGGUUAGUUGACUGUAGUGUGAGUCUAUUUCUGGGCUCUUUAUUCUGUUCCAUUGAUCUAUUUGAAUAUCCUUUCACCAGCACCACACUGUUUUGAUUACUGAAGCUUUAUAGUAAGUUUUGAAGUCAGGUAGCACCAGUCCUUUGACUUUGUUCUUCUACAUCAAUAUUGUGUUCACUCUUCUGGUUGAUUUAUCUCUCCAUGCAAACUUUAGAAUCAGGUUGUUGAUACUCACAAAAUAACUUGCUAAGAUUUUGGUUGAGAUUGUAUUGAACCUAUAGAUAAGUGGAGAAGAGCUGCCAUAUUGACAAUAUUUAGUUUGCUCUUUUUUUUAUGGUUUCCGAAGAAGGAAGCAUAGGUGAUGGAUUUUAGAUCUUUCUCCUUUCCAAUACAUGGAUUCAGUGCUAUAAAUUUCCCUCUAAGCACUGUUUGCUGCAUCCCACAAAUUUUGAUAAGUUGUAUUUUCAUUUUUAUUUAGUUAAAAAUAUUUUAAAAUUUCCCUUUAGACUUCUUUGAUUCAUAUGUUGUUUAGAAGUAUUUUUAAUCUCCCAAUAUUUUGGAAUUUCCAACUAUCUGUCUGUUAUUAAUUUCUAGUUUAAUUCCAUUGUGGUCUUAGAACAUCCAUUGUAUAAUUCCCAUUCUUUUACAUAUCUUAAAGUGUGUUUUAUGGCCCAGAAUAUGGUCUACCUUGGUGAAUGUUCCAUGUGAGCUUGAGGAGAAUGUGUAUUCUGCUGUUGUUAAACGAAGUACUCUACAGAUGUCAGUUAUAUCAAAUUGAUUGAUUGUGUUAUUUAAUUCAAUUAUGUCCUUAUUUAUUUUCUUCCUGCUGAAUAUGUCAAUUACUGAUAGAUGGGUGUUGAAGACUCCACCGGUAACAGUGGAUUCAUCUAUUUCUUCUUGUAGUUCUAUCAAUCUUCGCUUCAUGCAUUUUGACACUCUGCUCUUAGAAGCAUACUUGUUAAGACUUGUUAUGUCUUUUUUGGAGAAUUGUCCCCUUUAUCAUUAUGUAAUGCCUCUCUUUAUCUCUUAUAAUUUUCUUUGUUCUGAAUUUAUUUUGUGUGAAAUUAAUACAGCAAAUCCAGCUUUCUUUUGAUUAAUAUGAGCACGAUAUAUCAUUCUUCAUCCCUUUACUUUUGGUCUGUGUCUUUAUAUUAAAAGCAAGUUUCUGGUAGACAACGUAUCUUAUUUUUUAGUCACUCUGAGAAUCUCUAUUUUUUAAUUCAUAUAUUUAACCAUUGACAUUUAAAGUGAUUGUUGAUAUUUUGGAUUAAUAUCUACCAUAUUUGUUACUGUUUCUAUUCAUUACCCUUUCUUUUAUUAUUUUUUGUCUUCCAUUCUUUUGUUUUUUUCUGAUUUUUAGUUGAACAUUUUAUACGAUUCCAGUUUUUCCCUCUCUUAGUAUAUCAUUUAUACCUUUUUGAAACUCGUUUUAGCAAUUGUCCUUGAGUUUGCAAUAUAAAUUUGCAAUUAAAUCCGAGUCUUCUUUCAAUAACACUAUAACCUUUCACAGGUAGUGCAAGUACCUUAUAUCAGUGUAUUCCUAAUUACUUUCUUCUGUCCCUGGCAGCAUUGCUGUCAUUCAUUGCACUUAUCCAUAAGCUAUAAUCACUGAUUAAUACAUUGCUGCUAUUAGUAUUUGAGCAAAUUGUUGCAUAGUAAAUCAUCUAAGAAUGAGAAAAAUUAAAGAUUUAAUUUUGUCUUCAUUUAUUCCUUCUCUCAUGUACUUCCUUUCCUUUCGUAGACUUGAGUCUCUGACUUUUAUAUUUUUCUUCUUCCUGAAGUAUCUCUUUUAACAUUUCUUGCAAGGCAGGUCUACUGGUAACAAAUUCCUCAUUUUUUGCUUCUCUGAGAAAGUCUUUGUUUCUCUUUCCCAUCGGAAAAAUAAUUUUGCUGAAUACAGAAUUCUAGGUUGGUAUUGCUUUAUCUUCUUCUUCUUUUUUAAACACUUUAAAUAUUUCAUUCUCUUCUUGCUUGCAUGGUUUCUGAACUGAAGUCUGAUGUAAUUCUUAUCCUUGCUUCUCUACAAGUAAGGUGUUUUUUCUUUGAAUUUUCUCUUUGUUAUUGAUUUUCUGCAGUUUGAAUAUGAUAUGUGUAGAUGUAGAGUUUUUGGUAUUUAUCCUGCUCAGUGUUCUCUGAGAAACUUAGAUCUGUAAUUUGUUUUCGUCAAUUUGGGAGAAAUUUUCAGUCAUUAUUACUUCAAAUGCUUCUUAUUUUCUUUUCUUUCUUUUCCUUCUGGUAUGCCAAUUAUGUGUGUUACACCUUUUGUAAAUGUCCUACAAUUCUGGGAUAUUUUGUUUUACCUUUUUCAUUGUUUUUCCCUUUGAAUUUCAGUUUUGGAAGUUUCUAUUGACAUUAUUUUAAGCUCACAGAUUCUUUCCUCAGCUAGGUCCAGGCUACUAAUGGCGCCAUCAAAGGCCUGACACCAGUCACCACGUUUCCCACUCAUCCUCCAGGUACGCAGCUCUUUCUCUAGAGAAGUUCCCACAGAUCUCACCUCACUGGAUACUUCUUCCACAGCAGUCUUCAGAAAUGCAGCUAUCAUUGUCUUGCCUGAAUAAAAAGAUAUGUCAGAAAAAACUCUGCAAAGACUGAACUUCAGGAUGUUAUAAUCUCGUGAAGAAUUGAGAAGAUGAAGUAUUCUGAAAGAUAAGGAAAAAUGGCACUAGUUAGAGUCACUGAAAAACUCACUUGCUGAUGUCCCUGUCACCCUCUGCUAACUUCUAAGGAGAAAGAAGUUAUGUAUUUAUGAAACAAUUUUGAAGCUCCACCUGUCAAACUUUGUAACUUUCUGUUUCAGUAGUCAGAGAAAUUGAACAUUUCCCGUUUGUAAACAGUAAUCUUAGCCACAAGAAGAAAUGAUAGUUAAGUGCUCCAUCUUUGCUUUUUUGACUUAAAAAUAUCAGUGGCUGAAAGGAGUGUGAACAUAAGAAUUUUCUUAUUCAGCUGACUUACAUGUGGGUCGUUAGAAACCUGUAGCCUGGAAUGAGGCUUAAUACAUCACAUGAGAAAACUGAGUCACCCAGCCUCUUCUCCUGCUUUCCUGUUAGAGCAGCAGUGGACAGAGGAGAUAUUAGUAGAGGCAUAUAUCACUGCUAGUACCUCACUGCAUCUCCUGGAAUGGGGAGGGUCUUCUAGGAAAUUGCUUUUGUUUAAACGGUACAUCAGCAUUCAUCCAAUUAUUAAUAACUGGCAAACUGGAAGCUUGACAGACGUAGAUGGUGAUUAUGAAUAUAUAAAUCCUUACUCAAAUGUGUCAAAGGAGUUUGGCACUCGUUGCCCUUUUGACUAUGCCUAGGGUGCAUUAUCUCAAUGAUUAAAAUCGUGAUUAUUUAUGCUUUCUGCAUUAUUCAUGGAUAAAUACAAAUCAGUGAUGAUCAUGUAUUAUGACAGUAUUGAAGCUUUGAAAAUUCUGGAAGAGCACUAAGCAUCUAGAAGAGUAAAGGGCCUGAGAAAUCCUUGUCCUUCAGGAUUUUUCUGUGACAUGGUGGAUGCACUCUGGAGUAUCAUAAGCCCUGAGAUAUCAAAUAAAAGGCACCAGUCAGCAGACAGUAUUGUGGUAACCCACCAGCUCAUCUGCAAGAAGAAUGUGGCCAUGACUGGAAGAAGAGUCCCAAAAGAUAGCUAUUGUAGCCAAAUGAUUCGAGGCCAUCUAUGAGAAGAAAAAAGCUGAUUGUCUUAAUCCAAAUGCAACAUCAUAGAGGAAAAAGUUGAAGUUUAGAUUUGAAACCAUCUGAAUAACUCCACUAAAGCAGGAGUAAGUUAGGAAAAAUCAAGGAGGAUCUGGAGUAAUAGCCUACUUGUGUGUGUUCAUUGUUCUCUUACAGACUUUAGUUUCCUGGUUAUAUGGAUGCUUCAAGCUAUCUUAAGUAAAGAGUAGACAGUAAAGAGAGUUCACAGAGGGCCCCAAUUCAAAGUUUGGAGACUAGAGGAACUCAUGGCAGGAAUGACCAUGAUAAGGACAUAUUUCUGCCCUUUCUAAGAAACCAAUUCAUGUGAUCUGAUACCCUCUGUUGAUUUUCCAGCAGACAUCAUGCAAAUUGCUGACUCAAAUAAAAGUAAUCCCUAACAAUACUCCCUUAUCCAAACUGUGUAAUUGGAAUUUUAAUAAAUGGACUAAAGUAAUGCUCAAAAUUGUGCAGUUUUACUGAUUUAUGGGCAGUGGCCAAUUAAGAGGGGUUUUAGGUCAUUGUGUAAAAAGCUCGCUAGUAGAAAAUGUGAGAACUCCCACAAACACAAG